rnacentral:rRNA from 1 species
GACGAACGCUGGCGGCGUGCUUAACACAUGCAAGUCGAGCGAUGAAGCCCCUUCGGGGGUGGAUUAGCGGCGGACGGGUGAGUAACACGUGGGUAACCUGCCUCAAAGAGGGGGAUAGCCUCCCGAAAGGGAGAUUAAUACCGCAUAAAGCAGAAUUCCACAUGGAGUUUUGAUGAAAGGAGUAAUCCGCUUUGAGAUGGACCCGCGGCGCAUUAGCUAGUUGGUGGGGUAACGGCCUACCAAGGCAACGAUGGGUAGCCGACCUGAGAGGGUGAUCGGCAACAUUGGAACUGAGAGACGGUCCAGACUCCUACGGGAGGCAGCAGUGGGAAAUAUUGCACAAUGGGCGAAAGCCUGAUGCAGCAACGCCGCGUGAGUGAUGAAGGUCUUCGGAUUGUAAAGCUCUGUCUUCUGGGACGACAAUGACGGUACCAGAGGAGGAAGCCACGGCUAACUACGUGCCAGCCGCCGCAGUAA